rfam:Macleaya cordata isolate BLH2017 scaffold1365, whole genome shotgun sequence.
GUCUCUGAUGAUGAUUAAAAGAAAACUUCCGUUCUUUCGAGUUUAUCCAAGUGGAAAUUUUAUGGAGACCUGAACUGAAGAGAA